GCCUGGGUGGCUCAGUCGGUUGAGCACCCGACUUCAGCUCAGGUCAUGAUCUCGAAGUUCGUGAGUUCGAGCCCCGCAUUGGGCU
rnacentral:tRNA from 1 species